CCUGUGGGUGGGAGUUGACAGAAUAGAAGAUUACGUGGAAAAGUUGCUUCACAGCAUCUUUUUCUUAGGUCACAUUAAUGAUGUCCGUCUUCUUCCAACUGACUUCUUUGAGUCUCAAGAGGUGAUGGACUAUUUAGAAAAACGUUUUCCUAAGACAUUCGACAAUUACAUGUCUCCACCCUGUCAGACUCCAUUUUCCAUUAUUCUGACUUUGGCUGUCAGGAUUUGUGGUCAUGAGAACGAAGAUAAAAUACAAGAAAAUCUUCUAAGUUUCAUGGAAGCAUUGAAAUUGCCCCCCAAAAUAAAAGGCGAGAGUAACUACACCAACUACUACACUCUGGAGGCUACUGUCAUAGCUGUGUGCUACAACGAAACCCCUGGAGCCCUCAGACCAGUGAAGUACUAUGGAGCAUCCCUGUCCUGCAGAGGGGAGAGAGCAAGGAGAAUUAUGAUCAAUCAGUCAUGUCUAAACGUGUGGCAUAACUAUGUGUCUUAUGCAGUGUUGUCAUUCAGACAUGAACAGGGAAACGGUAUCAGCUUCCCUGGCACCGUAAAAUGUAGAGCAUUCUACAGGAAUCACAAGAACAAUUGUUAUGAAGCCCGAAGGCCGUGCAAGAACUGUGGGGAUCUUUUCUCUCUCUCAAACCCUGAGACGGACAGAAAUGACUUUCCCUACGGAAAAUGUGCCGAAACGGAGUGCCUGAGUAAACUAAUUUUAAAAGAUAAGGAUGUCAGGAGAAAAAUGAUUUUGGGAAUCUACUACACAAGGGAAAACCUGAGAGGUCUUAGAAAAAUGGCAGAAAUAGCUUUGGGACAGAGUCUUAUGGCAUAAGUCUACUUAGCACCUCUGAACAGUGUGCAUUUGGCCGUCAUUUUCAAACCAACUGCAAACUGUGACUGUGUAAACUUCUAUUAUGUGAUCAGGAUGUCUGCAGCAAUAUGAGUUUUGUACACUACACAAGAGAAAAUGUCUUAGAAAAAUGACAGAAAAUGCUUUUGAACAUUUAGGUUUUGUUUCACACAGGAUUUAUACAUGGUGUUUUUGCUGUGUUUGACUUGGAAGUUUCCUCUGAAACUACAAGAACAAUGGUGUUCUUUAAUCACUCAACUGUGAUUAAGGCAACUGUGCCAUAGUCAUAAUGCACAAGUAAAUGGUUUCUGUCACUGAGAGUUGUGAAUUACAGCUCGGAUAAACAAUACAAUUAUUACCACUAAUAAAUAAC